UGGAGUAUCGCCAAGCGGUAAGGCACUGGGUUUUGAUCCCAGCAUKCCUAGGUUCGAAUCCUAGUACWCCAGCCA
rnacentral:tRNA from 1 species